GGAAGGGUGUCCGAGUACGGCUUAAGGAGCACGACUGGAAAUCGUGUGGGCGUGCACAACACGCCUCGAGGGUUCGAAUCCCUCCCCUUCCG
rnacentral:tRNA from 1 species